GUGGUGGAUGGUGUAGAAAAACAAAAAAGCAGAAAUUUGAAAUUGCAAAAAAGAAAAAAAGAAAAAUUAAGGUAAAAAAUUAAUUUCUUUUUGUGCGGAGGGGCCGGUGAGGGGGUGGGGAUGGGUCUAGUAGUGGGGUGGAGGGGUAAUAAGGUGGGUGGUAACGGAUAAGUUAGAAAUUUGAAAAAAAUAAGUCUUUUGAAGAAAGGACUUGAAGGAUUUUCUGUUCUGACCUUCCUGAGCACGAGAGGCGUAACGAUCUGGGCACUG
rnacentral:lncRNA from 1 species